rnacentral:lncRNA from 1 species
UGGAUGUGGGGUAUGAGGGUGGAGACUCUGGUGCACUUAACAAUGGUGUGAACCAGACAAGUAUGAAAAAAGAUAGUUUGCUAUUAUGCCAGAAGCUAUUAACUACAAGUAGUCAAGAAGUAAAAUUCACCAGAGCACAGUUAGAGUUAAUGCCAACCUAUAGCUGAGCCUCAAAAUGACCAGAGAGCACCAAAAAAAACACAGCACAAGAUCUCAGGGACAUUGCCAAAGGGACAUCUUGGAAAGGAUGGGGUCCUAUAAGGUUAGUUGAGGAACUGGAAAGGAAGGAUUUUGCUCUUCCAGAAGUCUGAAGACCCAGCACAGUCCUCAGGGAACAUGAGACAAGUUGUAGAAAAUGGCCUUUGGCCAGAGCUGGAGCCCAAAGCCACAACUUAUUAUCACAGCUCAUAUUAACUAAUCAAGUCAUUCCAUAAAUAUGUGUUUUUCUCUUUUUCCUUCUAAAUAUUCAUCUUGCCACUUUUGUUUAACUCAAUCGCUUCAUCAGAGCCAGAAACUCACUUCUAAAACAUCAUUCACAUUUACAUCUCUGGCAGAGGUGCCCAGACACCAGUGCAGAAAGGACUCGACCCCUUAACAUUUCCCCUUUUAUGUCUUUGUCUGUUUUCUUCAUGGAUGCUUCCUCUGCCUCUGCAAAGCUGGGGGCCUUCUUCAAAGGGCAAAAAGACUUCUCCACUCCUUAUCUGCAUACCUGAAAGCCAAAACUUUCAGCUGCCUGGUUCCUGCUCCAAAGGUCAAGGCUACUUGGGAGUUCUCUUGAUUUUGUUCCUCUCCCUCACCUGCCAAGAACAGCCAUCUUCCCAGCCUCAGUCCAUAUCUGGCUGCAUCUUCUCCAUGCUUCAGGAGCUUCCAGUUCAGCUAAAAAAGAAGGAAACUUCUUAAAAGAAGUAAGAGCCCAGUGGUAAGCCUGCCCCUUUGACCCAGUGCAGCCAGAGGAGUUCAGCUACAAGGGAGCCAACACAGCGGUGUUCAUGUCCCCACCUGGCCUCCCCACCCAAAUGAGAGAAAGAGGGCCUCUCUGAGGCUCCUAGAUAAAAAUUGAAGCCCACUGGAAAAGUGAAGAAAAUCUCUGCGAUAAAGGCACACUACACCACCAGAGUUGGUAAGUUGGAGGGACCAGCACCUCAGAUCAGAGCCUGGUCUAACUUCAGGGGAAAGACAGCUGGAACCUGCAGCAGAACCUUGCAGAGUUCAACUCAGCAGGAGGUCAGAGAUCCCAACUUGGGCCUUGUAGCUAGAAAUCAGCCUGAACUCAGGGGACAGCUGCUGGCUAGCUGAGACUACUUAACUUAGAUCUGCACACUCCUGCCCACGUUGUCUAUUGUGUCAACAGAGGCAUACCCUGAAGGAGGCCCUCUA